rnacentral:rRNA from 1 species
UGACCUCGGUUCAGACGUGAUACCU